rnacentral:rRNA from 1 species
AUGAUUGCAAUGCUUCCACCUCCGGAUGUAGAAGAUGGCACACUUUUGGAUAGGGAGUUUGAGUUACUAUUAGCUGCUGACUCGAUGUAUCACCUCAGUUUCUCAGCAAAAAGUGUUUGGUAUGUUUUUAAAGAUGCUAUUCUCCCUGGAGUUAGAGAAGGAUGUGAAGCUAAAUACAACAUCGAAAGAUUUCCCUUCAAAGGAAGCUAUCAAGAGGUUGGGAUGGUUAUUGGUUUCCUUGGACAAUUAGAGACCUAUGAAGUGCUAGUAGAUCAUAAACGAGCAUCUCAUAGGCAACUAGUCCAAGUCAUGCGCCGCAAUUUGGUGACUUUUUCUGAGGCAAUGAGAUUUGCAUUUCUGUUCAAGCUAAAUCUCACAACAUUUCAACUUCGAAAUCUGUGUGGUGUAUUGGAUGGUCCUGUCAAAAAGAAUGAGUUAUACCAGAAUCUUCCUUAUCAUUUCAAUGAUUGGAGCAAUUACUCCGAGAAGUGCAGAGAAGGAAGAGAAAAGUUUGAUGCAGAAUGGCAACGAUCUGAUCCAGAGUUUAGCAAAUACAUAUUAUCAGGAAUUCCCACAUUUGAUGCUCUGUUAAAUUUUGUGAGUCUGUUGUCAAAUAAAAACCACAAGAAAAGUAGGGAAGAGGAGUCUGAAAAUCACAUGAAACAAUCUUUUGGAAAUCUAGAAGAUCACCGGGAGGGUGGUGGGGAUGAGGAUCCUCCAAGUGAUGGUAAUAAAGAGAGACAGAAGAAGAAAGACACAUCUUCCGCCUGGUUCUUUGAGGCCCCUGUGAUGCCAUUCCAUUGGAUUGAUAGAGCAUCAAACAUAGUAAAGGAGUAUGCAUUUUAUGUGCUGAAACAGAGAUGGUCCUACGCAUGUGUGAAACAACUUAUUGAGAGGUUUAUUUCUGCUGAAGCAAUGGAGAAUGACUUCAUUCCUGAUGUUGAUUGUCCCAGCGUGGGUUUUCCGCUGGUUUUGACUUGCUUCAGCAACAAUCUCUUUCGCAGAGAGCCCCUGAAGCUUGCUGAUGAUGGCGGCGAGUUCCAAAGCACUGUCCUGUACAUAGACGCUUUUCUUUUGAUCAUUGGGAACCCUGCUCAAACGGAUGCUCAUAUCUUCACUCUUGGGAGUCCCAACAAUGAUUUUACUGUUAGGCAACUUGCUGAAUUGAUGACAGAGGCACAUGGCCAUGUCCCAGGAGAGCAACCUUUGAUUGCUGUGAGCUCCAAACGACUCUAUGGUGAAGGAUACAACGACAGGAUUGCUGGUGUUACUCUAAUCAUACAGCAGCUAGUAGGUCACAUCUCCACUGUUGGGGGUCCCAGCACAUUCACUGCUAGGGAAUUUACUGAAAUGAUGACAUAUGUACAUGGUAGAGUCUCAGGAGAACCACCGCUGGAGGAACCUUUGAUUGAGGCAAGCGUGGAGCAGUUCUUGGGCAAAUAUGACGACGACAAGAGGAUCCCUGGUGUGACCCCAAACAACAACAAGCAGCUAGGAGAGCCACUGCUGGAGGAUCCUUUGAUUGAGGCGAGCACAGAACAGUCUUUGGGCGAAGGAUACGAUGACAGCGACAAGAGGAUUCCUGAUGUGACGCUGAUCAACAAGCAGCUAGGGUGGAACCCAAACGAUGCCUCUCCCAAGGAACUGCUGGCGACGACACUGACGACCUAG